GACAAUUAUCACGACGCUAAUGUCUUACAUCAAUUGUACAUAAUUUUUGUAAUUGGCCAAUUUAGCCCAGGCCCAAAUAAUAAAAAUAAACCAAACCAAAAAAAUAAAAAUAUAAUAACAAAAUCUAUACAGUCCAAGUCCAUUUACAAUAUGGCCUAAUAUGGCCCAAAUGAAGAAACCUUAAAGCCCAACAACCUAAACCUCUUUUCAGUAAAAUAAAAAAAUAACCCUAAAGCCCCUCCGCCGCUGCCAUUGUCCACGUUAGCAUACGUGCACCCCAAAGCCUGAUGUGCCUUGGCCUCCGU
rnacentral:lncRNA from 1 species